AUUGGCCGACCAUGCCCAGGAGAAAGGCCUCUGGUUUCUUCAAAAAGGUAUAUUUAAAUACCUUUUUCAUUUCAUUAUGAAUCAUCUCCCAAAGUGUCUUAAUCCUUGGGCAUGUCCACCAAAGGUGAACUCUAAUCCUCAAAUUCGUCUGUUUUUCUUUAAGUUCAGUCAUAGCAAGCGUCAACUUAUAUUCAUCAAGUUGCUUCUGUAGGGCUGGGGCUCUCUUGCUCUUUCUCUCCAGUUGUGUUUCUUUACAUUCAGCAACAACAGUUUUUCCCUAAUUUCCUCUGCAGUUUGCUGUAUCGAAAUAGGUUCCUGUGUCAAUUUCUGGGUAGUUUCUAUAUUAGUAUUAUUUAUACUUUCUAUAUUUAAAUUAGUUUUAAUGAUUGAAACAUCCACUUUCGCAUUUAUCGUGUCCAUUUUCCUGUGAAGCUGAUCCAAUGAAUCAUUUAUCUUAAAUAAUGCAGCCACUAGAGCCUCUUCUGUCAACAUUUCUCUUGGUUUUAAAUAUACUGGUACAAAGGCUGCAACAAAAAAAGCAGGGGGGCCUGAUGAUGGACCUCUCCUGGAUUGUUGCCAAGUCCUCCCAGACCUUAAUGUUUUGUCAGCAGUUGACUGGUCUGUUUUUCCUCUUCCAUUAACCAUAACACUUAAAAGAUUCAAGGUCAGUCCCAGAGUCUCACGGUUUUUAACUUGCAGCUGGAAAUUUCCCUAACCCAACUCUUGUAAAGCAACCGGUUUCAAAGGCUUCCACUAGGGGGAAACAGUUUCUAUUUGUAAUAGUCAAUAAUAUCCUCUUUUAAACAAUCCGAAAAUUAGUUUCAAGUUAGUUUGAAUUUUCAGUUACUUUUACUCCUUUUUAUAGCAGCCGGAAACAGUAGAAACAAUGUAUUUCUCUUGUUUAACUAGCUGUCAAUGAACGUUCUAAACACUGUCAAUGAACAUUCCAAAAUACGUCAGUCCUACUAGCAGCCCGUUUCCAGGGUCAGAGCGGCGGUGUUUCAAAUCUCUUCGCUCUCUCCUGCAGGCAUAUUCAGUCCACAACUUCCCCCCCUCUUCUCCUGCCUCCAAAGGGGGGGGUUGUUCUUUACCGAUGGAAAUUUAAUCUUUUACAAAAGACUUUCGAGGACUCCAGCUUGCAACUUCAUUGCCUCAGUCUAUUUACAAAAGGGGGAGGCGGACUUCCUGUUUUAAAAAAUCCAAUUCUCCCGUUUCAGCUCUACUCACGGGUAAUUACUUUAAAGUCAAAUUGUCCAUAGGAAAAAGUCAGCGCUCUCCAGCAACGGCUGUGCGGCUUUGCUCCGUGGAAGAAGCAGACAAUUCGAAGCACCGCCCCACUCACCCCACGUCGCUCCGGAGCCCCGAAAAUGGGUUUCCCUGCAAGUAGGGGAGGCGCAGAAGGUGCCCGCCGAAUCCCACAUUCACAGGCUUCUCGCGCCUGUGAUUUUUAUGGGUCUCCGCCUUCACCGUGGCGGCCAGACCCAAUUUCCCACGUGGCAAAUUCCUCCCGGUCAGAGGAAUUCCGCCAUUGCCAAUGGCGCCAAGCCGGUAGUCCCCGUUCUUAAUAUUCUGAACCUUCUUCAAAAGCCCCAACCAAAUCGGAAAUGUUUUUACUUUGGGAUUUCUUGUAUUCUUUGUCUGCUUUUGUGUGUGACAAUAUGUACUUUUAACGUGAUACGAGGCAGGAAUUACAGGGAUCUUACUGGGGGAAAAUGGAUCUUGUUCAGAGUAUGAAGCCAAGGAAUUUCAGCUGCUUAUCAAAUAAGACAACACAUCUGAAUGGUGUACAAGACUCAUAAUCCAAACACAUGACUGUCUCUUCUCUUUUAUCUUUCUGUCUUUCUAUUUACCAAGUAGUAGUUGUGCUAGUCUGCAGCAACAAAAACAAGUAACAUUGUGGCACCUUCAGAACUAACCAAUUUAGUCUUGCGGACCAGAGACUUCAUCAGACUCUACUCUACAAAAGCUAAUGUCAUCAUGUUAGUUAGUCUUCAAGGUGCUACAAAGAUAUUUGUUGGUUUUGCUAUUUUUCUUUGAGACUAAAGUUGUUUGAAACCAUCCCUUUUGUCUCUUAAUCUCUAUCUAAAAGCUUGAGUCAGCUCAAACAUUGAAUCUUGUUGAUUACUUUGCUAUUCUGCUAUAGAUUUUGUACCCAGCAAUUGAUGUUAUUCCAUUACUUGAAUGAUGAGGUGUUGUAAGUAGCUCUUGCUAAAUUGUUAAAACACAUUUCCUCACUUGCCCCAAGCAGCUCUCAGAUGUUCUGCUCAUUUUUAGGAGAUGGCAAAACUUAAGAGCAGCAGCUGAAUUAGCAACAUUCUUUGGCUUCCUUCCUUGUGCAGGAUUGGUCAUCUAGACAAAACACCAGAGGGACUAACAGUAAGCAGAAUGAGGACACUUCAGACCCUGCCAGAGUGAUGAAAAUACCACUUCACCACAAGACCAUAACAAAAUGGAAGUCAUGUCAGCAAAAGAACUUCAUAUGUACAGUACAGCAAUAUCUGAUUAGUACUCCAGUUCAGACAAAAGAAAGGGGAAUUCAGAAAAUGUAAACUCUGAAGUCAGCUCUUAGGAGGCUGUUUAGCGCUGGAUUGGAAAUGUUAGUGAGCACAGUAUUUAAAUUAUAGUGAAUGGUCUGGUGUCCUCUGAAGGCUGCUUCACACAUGACUUUUUUCCUAUGCAAAGUCCAUCUCCAUAUAGGAAAAGAAAACAUGUACACUAUUAUGUCUGAAUUGACGGAUGCAAAUAUCAGUUUUGGCAUUAACUGGUAUAAAUUUGUGCAUACUGCAUUAGUUGCAGUUCACUUAAAAUACUGAUACCUCACAGCCCAGCAAGAGAUGAAUCCAUUUUAGGGCAAAAUAGAAACUGGUACAAGGGAUAGGUCUGUAUUAUACUGAAGCCAGUGGGAUCUGUGCCUAUUUUAUACCAUUGCUAAAUUAGCUCCCUUGUGGUUUCACAAAGGAGACAUAAGUAGAAGCAAUAGUUCGCAAUCAUGUUGUGCGUGAUUUAUUGCAUCGUUAUACUGAGGAGGUCGUUUUUGGCACAUUUCAAAAAACUUUUCACAAUAGGGGAAAAUGAAUAAUCUGCUGUUUGAGCAAACAAUGCCCAUCUGAGUGCAACUAUCUGAAGAACAAUGUUGCAGCCAAAUAAUUUAAUAUAACUCCAGUUCUAUCUGUGCAGCAGUCAGAGUGAAUGGCAUAAGUGUAAAGAAGUGAGAAAGACUGGAUACUUGAUGCCCUCUGUAUAUCAAAUCAAAAGCAGAAAUAAAUUAAUAGGAUGCGCCUGUCAGAGGCAAACACACGGUAUGCAGAAGAUCAGCUUUCCCCAACCCGGUGCCCUCCAGACUGGGGCUGAUGAGAGUUAUAGUCCAAAACACUUGGAGGGCAUCAGGCUGGGGAGGAUGCAAUAGAUAGUCACUUCUCUCAUCUCACUCAUCUACUGGAUUAAAUAUGUAUUACAAAGCUCAUGUUUCAAUAACUUUGCAAUGAGAUUUAAUGCCCGUCAGGCACCAUCAGUUUAGGAUACUGUAGAGCAGGAAAAGAAGUGCAACCACUAGAGAAAACUGUUUUCAUCAAAAGUUCACAACCUAGUCUAGCCAACCUGGAUCAACACGGGGUGUCUCUAAAAAGGCAAGUCCGGGUGAAUAAUCCUUUUCCACUUUGUUUGGUGUUGCC